GCUCAUUCUCACUUCCCAUACAUCCUGACAUCCUGUCUAUCAGAUUAGGGUUUUGAGAGUCAUUUCGAAACUUUUCAAAAUCGCCGCUUCCCUGCUCCUCUCUAUCUCUCUCUCUCUCUCUAGCGAUUCAGGAACACAUUUCACCAGAUCUAUGAAGUUUCAACAGAUCGAUGAACAUUCUGACCUCUUGGUUCUGAUUUCCGGCUUUUAUUGGCGGAUCAGGUGUUGGAGGUAGCCAGCCGGUUGAUCUUUAGAAAACCUGCACCUGAGAAUUUUAAAUCUGCGGCCCUCAAACACUAAAGGUAAGAUUUGUUGUUGAUUGUGGUCUAAAAGUUUGACCGUAUUAGGGUUUGUGGUUUAUUUUGGUUGUGUAUCACUUCAACUGAUGUUCAGGGUGUCAUUGUGUGGUAUAGCGUACGAUAAUGGGUUUACUUGUGAGGAUUUUGAUUCUGUUCAUCUUUAUUACCAGGGUUGUGAAUGAGAUCAAUAGCUCAGCAACAAGGAAGAGCAAAGAAUGGAAAGAUAAGCUGCCAAAUGUUGUUUUAAAAGCUGAAGAAAUCAUGUAUUCUAAAGCAAAUUCUGAGGCAGAGUAUAUGGAUCUUGAAAUCCUAUGGGAUAGAGCUAAUGAUGCCAUUAACACCAUAAUUAGGUUGGAUGAAAGUACAGAUGGUGUUUUCUUGCAGGUACCUUUAUUGUUCAUUUUUUUCUUGGAUGAAAGUACAGAAACUGGUGUUUUCUUAGUUGUUUGUAGAACAUCUACUUGCUCUUGAUGGGCUAAGGAAAGACUGUCCUUGUUUGAAGCUAACUUGAUUGCAGAAGGAUCUUUUGAUUCUACAAUACAAUAGCAGCUUUCUUGGAUUCACCUAAUUAUAGUUGUCAAUUUUGGAGCAUCACAAAGUCACUACGAUUUCAAAUUGGGGCUGCAGUUCAUCAAACCCAGAGAGGCUAGGUUUCAUAGCAAUAAUGAGGGUAAAUCGAAUGGUUGGCUGCAGGAGCAGACCUCCAUUGUUUCAAAAACAUAAUAGAGCCCAAAUGGCAGGUCACGCUCUUUGUGCUGGUGGAAUGUGGACUAAGACUUUUUUCAAGUCAAAAUCAGACAAAUAUUGGGUUUACAUGACACUUCAAACGUCUUUAGAUGCUAACUUGGAAAACCUUAUGGCCUCGACUAAUCAGACUCAGAUGAGUUUUGCAUCUAGAGAGCAUUCACAAAGUAAGCUAUCUGCUGCUACACAUGUAAUCUUAAGUGUUUCUGAUGUAUGUGAUGGCUCCUCCAGCUCAGGUUAAGCACCGAUUAAAGUUUAAAAACAUAUGGAGAUGCAAGAUAAAAAAUAGAGGCAUUUUAUCAUGCAGCUGCGACAGAAGAAGGGUUUGUAUCGAUUGUUUCUUGACAAUGGUGGUGAAAUCGCAUGUAGCUGCUAUUGAAUAUUGAUGUCUGUUUGGUGUGAUUUCAAACGGAAGACUUUACGUUGCAAAUGCUGGUGAUUCACGUGUUGUUUUGGGGCUAGCCGUUAAGGCUACUGGGGAGGUUAUUGCAAUCCAAUUUUUGACUAAACAUAGUGCAUACAUAGAGUCUGUUAGAGAAGAACUUCGUAGUUUGCACCUCUAUGACCAUCAUAUUGUAGUUUUGAAAGACAAUGUGUGGCAUGUGAAGUGCCUCAAUUAGGGACAUGUGGUUUGGAUGAUGACCUCUACCCGCAUCAAUAACCGAAACGGUUAAUGGCGAUUUGGUGGCGGACAUCAGAGUUUGGUGAUGGUAGUCAUGACUCCGGCGGUUAUUGGGGCUUAAGGUUAGCAUGUUCAUUUUGCAACUGUUUUCAGAUUAUUUAUAACUUAAAUUUUGAUCCUCAUAUUAGCUUUAUAAUCUAUGUAUUUGUAUCCGUUUUGUCAGUUUACUUAGUUCAAAGGCUUAGUGUCAACUACCGUGAAUUUGUAUCUGUACCGUCAGUUUAUAUGAAUUGGAGUUAAUUAUUGCUGCAUGAAUGUGUAUAUGCAUCCUCUAACGAUGAAAGCAGAAUGUUGAGAAUGCUUCUUAAUAAUUACGCAUAAGCAUGGGUAAAGAUGGGCUUCCUAAUUCAGUGGGUGAUGUUCUAAAUCUAGGAUCAUAUAUGCCUAUUCUACCUCGCAAUGCUCCAGAUAUGUUACUCAAGGUGCCUUUUUUUAUAUUAACAAUGUCUUUUUUAUUCUUUUAAGGGUGUAACAAGAUGACCGACUAUUAAUUUUUUAUAUGGAUUAUUAUAUGUAGCUUUGUAUUCA